CUUUGCUAUUCAAUACAAAAUGUAUUCAAACUCUAAUAUGGUAUCAUGAGCUAUUGAUCCAACUUUUUUUUCCGCUUCCGCUACUAUCAUGGCUACACCAUCAAAACACUUUGUCAACGCAGACAAAUGAUGGUGACCAUAUUCAACUUCCCUCUCGGAUAGCUCCAAACUCCUUAUGGAGAAACAAUCCCUCUUUGGCACCCUGUAGUUUAUCUAUCAUGGAAUGCUUGCAAAGCUAAUUUUUAAUUCGGCACCACGUAGUUUAUCUACCAUGGAAUGCCAAUUAUUAAAUUUUUUUUUCUCUCUGAAUCCCUUACGGAAAAACAAAUUCAUAAUUCGGCACCAAGUAGUCUCUCUACCAAGGAUAGCCAACUAUCAUUUUUUUUCUCCAAACCCCUUACGGAGAAACAAAUCCAUAAUUCGGCACCAUGUAGUCUCUCUACCAAGGAUAACUAACUAUCAAUUUAUUUAUUUUUUCUCCACACCCUUUAUGGAGAAACAAAACCAUCUUUGACAACCCGUAGUUUAUCUACCUAGUCUUGUCAAGCAUAAACUUAUUUUUCCAAACUCUUAUGGAGAAACCACCCACUACUCUCUUUUUUUUUUUAAAAAAAAAAAAAAAAAAAAAAAAAAAAAAAAAAAAAAAUCCUCCAUAACCAUGAAUACCGAAGCUCUCAUUCCCAACCAUGCUGACCCAGCCAAACCCUUAAUAACAGAUGCCUGGACUAAACCCCUUGCUAUUUCCCGGUUCAGCAACCUAUACUCCAAGAUUGGUAUUGUCUUGCGACCGUCCAUCUUGCGGGGGUAUGUUAAGAGAUAAUCAUAUCUCCUUGUUAAUAGCUGUAGUUAUCUUCUUUCCUUAAUUAUGACCUCUGUUUUCAUUCUUUUUUGACUAUUAUUCACGGUCAAUUAUAUUUUAGGUUGUUACUGAAUUCUAGCCUUAAUUGUAGGCUUUACCGUAGCUUGCUUUCUCUAUAUAUAGUUUUAAAUACUUACUUUGCUAUUUAAUACAAAAUGUAUUCAAACUCUAAUAUACCGCAGGGGAUUAGCACUCUUGUAGAAUUUGAUGUAACUUAAUAUGCUGCCGCUACUGUUCUUUCAAAAAAAAAAAAAAAGCCCAGAAUAGCCCAAAAAUCUGCCCAAAGCCGGUAAAUUUCGGGCUGGGCCAAUUUUGAGUUUUGAGACCUCUCUAUUUUUUAGAUUUACCAGGAAAUCAAAAAAUAUUUUUGGUUCGAGAAGUAAAAUAUGCAGUUGCACAUCUCACACUUACUCCUGAAUUACCUCAAAGUUCAUUCAUGUAAAAAUCAUCUACAUUCAUCAAUUACCCAGGAAAGGUGAGAUGGAAAGGGAAAAUCAAGUCGAACAAUUAGACAUACUUAGUAAUUUACCGGACCAUGUAGUUGCACACAUCAUUUCUUUCCUUCCAACAAAUGAGGCAAUUAGAACUAGCAUUUUGUCUUCAAGGUGGAAGUAUCUUUGGAAAGAUAUUCAUAGUAUUUGCUUAAAGGGUGGUGAGUCUAAUCCUGAUAGAUUUGCAAACCUUGUGGAGCAUGUGCUUGACAAUUGUAAAUCUAUUAACUCUUUUUCAAUUGACCUUUCCUGUUGAGAUGAAAUAGGCUUAACACGUAUGAAUGCGUGGGUUUCCGCUGCUCUUAGCUGUAAAAUUGAAAAGCUAUUCCUCUACUUUCGAAAAUAAAUUCCAGAUUUACCUGCACCUCCCCUGCCAGAAUGCAUUCUUGAUUGCAGCACGUUGGUAGUGCUUAAGCUAGAUUCAUGUUUUGAUAUACGCAUACCCAAGUCAAUAGUUUGUUUUCCUCAUAUUAAAUCACUUGGUUUCGAAAUUAUACUCCCUAAUCAGGAUAGGGUUAUGCAUCAGCUUUUGUCUUCCUGUCCAAUAUUGGAAGAACUGUCCCUUACUGACCUCCUAGAUUUUGGAAAAGUACGAAAUAUUGAUAUAUGCGUUCCCACUUAAAAAACUAAGCCUGUUUCUUGAGUAUAAAAGAGGUGAUGAGUAUGAUAUUACCAUUGAUACACCCAAUCUUGAAUACCUGGAAAUAGAGGAUAACUCGUUGUCUCGAUUUGUGGUGAAAAAUCUAUCACAAGUUCAUCAUGUUGAUAUCAUGUAUGACCCCUUGGCUGUUGAAGGUUUAAAGCCUAAGCAAAAAAAAAGGUUUCUUGAGCUUUUAAAUGGGAUUGCUGCUACGGAUUUGAUGAUAUUACAUUUUUACACUACAGUUGUUCUCGGAUCAGCUCUCAGCUGUACGUGGCCCACAUUUUUUAAUUUGACGAUGUAAGAAAUACACUUAACCGAUGAAUUAUUUGGUUGGAUCUGUUUCCCAAGAGUGCUCCAUUCUGCUCCCAAGUUGAAAGUUCUUGUUUUGGUUUUGGAAAUGAUGAAUAGUGACCUUGAGGAACGUGAACCAUGCGUGUGGAUUCCACCAGAUGAAGUUCCUCUUUGUUUGUCAGAAAAUCUCCGGAUAAUUGGAGUUAAAUGGUUAGCAGGAAAUGAUGACGAAGUGUUGGAGCGAAUGAUGAUUGAUUCUCGUGGACUGGACGAAGAAGUGAUGGAGAAGUUAAUGAUGUGUCCUACAGCUUCAGGGACUUGUGAUGUUUAAUUCUAUGAGAAAAUAUUCUUUGGUAUUCCUCUCACUAAGAUCAGUGUUUGGGGCACAUAAGCUCAUUGUUUAGUAAGGUGCUAUUAUUAAUCUGCAAUGGUUGCUGCAGCUGGGAGGGUUAUUAAAAAUCGCUGCUACCUGAAUUAGUGAAUUGUGCUUGACAGUCACCUAAUUUGAGAGCGCUUGCAGAGAGUUUUAUUGUAUUGUGUUGAAAUAUCACAACUUCUCUACGGAUUGUUAAAACUGGAAGAAUGCAAGAUGUUGCUGUAGGAUGCAUGAAUGGCUAAUUUCUUUUUUAAAAAUGUUGUGGAA